rnacentral:rRNA from 1 species
AUUGAACGCUGGCGGCGGGCUUAACACAUGCAAGUCGAGCGGGGUGAUGGUGCUCGCACUAUCACUUAGCGGCGGACGGGUGAGUAAUGCUUAGGAAUCUGCCUAUUAGUGGGGGACAACAUCUCGAAAGGGAUGCUAAUACCGCAUACGUCCUACGGGAGAAAGCAGGGGAUCACUUGUGACCUUGCGCUAAUAGAUGAGCCUAAGUCGGAUUAGCUAGUUGGUGGGGUAAAGGCCUACCAAGGCGACGAUCUGUAGCGGGCCUGAGAGGAUGACCCGCCACACUGGGACUGAGACACGGCCCAGACUCCUACGGGAGGCAGCAGUGGGGAAUAUUGGACAAUGGGGGGAACCCUGAUCCAGCCAUGCCGCGUGUGUGAAGAAGGCCUUAUGGUUGUAAAGCACUUUAAGCGAGGAGGAGGCUCUUUUGGUUAAUACCCAAGAUGAGUGGACGUUACUCACAGAAUAAGCACCGGCUAACUCUGUGCCAGCCGCCGCUGUAA